GAUGAACGCUAGCGAUAGGCUUAACACAUGCAAGUCGAGGGGCAGCACAAGGUAGCUUGCUAUCUGGGUGGCGACCGGCGCACGGGUGCGUAACGCGUAUGCAACUUGCCCUAUACAGGAGGAUAACCCGUCGAAAGACGGACUAAUACUGCGUAUGCUCACAACUUGGCAUCAAGUGGUGAGGAAAGAAAUUCGGUAUAGGAUAGGCAUGCGUCCCAUUAGCUUGUUGGUGAGGUAACGGCUCACCAAGGCAACGAUGGGUAGGGGAACUGAGAGGUUUAUCCCCCACACUGGUACUGAGACACGGACCAGACUCCUACGGGAGGCAGCAGUGAGGAAUAUUGGUCAAUGGGCGCGGGCCUGAACCAGCCAAGUCGCGUGAAGGAUGACUGUCUUAUGGAUUGUAAACUUCUUUUAUACGGGAAUAACAAGAGUCACGUGUGACUCCCUGCAUGUACCGUAUGAAUAAGCAUCGGCUAACUCCGUG
rnacentral:rRNA from 1 species